GCCCAGUAGUGGGGGAUAGCCCGGCGAAAGCCGGAUUAAUACCGCAUACGACCUGAGGGUGAAAGCGGGGGAUCGCAAGACCUCGCGCUAUUGGAGCGGCCGAUAUCAGAUUAGCUUGUUGGUGGGGUAAAAGCCUACCAAGGCGACGAUCUGUAGCUGGUCUGAGAGGACGACCAGCCACACUGGGACUGAGACACGGCCCAGACUCCUACGGGAGGCAGCAGUGGGGAAUUUUGGACAAUGGGCGCAAGCCUGAUCCAGCCAUGCCGCGUGCGGGAAGAAGGCCUUCGGGUUGUAAACCGCUUUUGUCAGGGAAGAAACGGCUCUUGCUAAUAUCGAGAGCUAAUGACGGUACCUGAAGAAUAAGCACCGGCUAACUACGUGCCAGCAGCCGCGGUAAUACGUAGGGUGCAAGCGUUAAUCGGAAUUACUGGGCGUAAAGCGUGCGCAGGCGGCUAUGCAAGACAGAUGUGAAAUCCCCGGGCUCAACCUGGGAACUGCAUUUGUGACUGCAUGGCUAGAGUGCGGCAGAGGGGGAUGGAAUUCCGCGUGUAGCAGUGAAAUGCGUAGAUAUGCGGAGGAACACCGAUGGCGAAGCAAUCCCCUGGGCCUGCACUGACGCUCAUGCACGAAAGCGUGGGGAGCAAACAGGAUUAG
rnacentral:rRNA from 1 species